UUACAAAUAUUGGUAAAGUGUAGAAUUUAAAGGCAUCUCCAAAGGCUUCCUACUUAUGUCUUUCUUGGACUGAUCUGGAAUACCUUGAAAAGAGGAUUCCUUCCAGUUUAUCAGCAUAAUCAUGAAAAAUCAAUAAAAAUCUAUCAUGUUACAUGAUGGAAUUGCCUCAAGAAGUUUUAGAACUCCUUAGCUUCACCCAGAGUGUUUGUGUAUUUGUGUAUGUUUGUACAUGUGUACAUUUGAGUGUGUGUGUCUAGGGGAGUAGAUUUAGCAGAUGGUAGAGGUGCAUCUCUGGUAUAUAUGCAGAGAUAUAUACCAGAGUAAGAAUGCUUUUCCAUAGCUUUUCCACACUGUAAAGAUAUUUUUCCCUUUAGUGCAUAAAUGUAUGUCAUAAAAUUGCCAUUACUGGGACUUCCCUGGUGGCGCAGUUGUUAAGAAUCCGCCUGCCAAUGCAGGGGACAUGGGUUCGAUCCCUCAUCCGGGAAGAUCCCACAUGCCAGAGAGCAACUAAGCCCAUGUGCCACAACUACUGAGCCUGCGCUCCAGGGCUCACGUGCCGCAACUACUGAGCUUGUGCUCUAGGGCCCGUAUGCUGCAACUACUGAAGCCUGCAUGCCUGGAGCCCAUGCUCCACAACAAGAGAGAAGCCACCGCAAUCAGAAGCCCACACUGUAUCGAAGAGUAGCCCCCACUCGCCACAACUAUAGAAAGCCCGCACGCAGCAACAAAGACCCAGCGCAGCCAAAAAUAAUAAUAAUAAUAAAAUUAAAAAAAAUUAAAAUUUGCAUGGAAAAAGGAAAUGUGAUUUAAAAAAUUAAAAAAUAAAAUUGCCGGGCUUCCCUGGUGGCACAGUGGUUGAGAGUCCGCCUGCCGAUGCAGGGGACACAGGUUCGUGCCCUGGUCUGGGAAGAUCCCACAUGCCGCGGAGCGGCUGGGCCCGUGAGCCAUGGCCGCUGAGCCUGUGCGUCUGGAGCCUGUACUUCGCAACGGGAGAGGCCACAACAGUGAGAGGCCCGCAUACCGC
rnacentral:lncRNA from 1 species